rnacentral:tRNA from 1 species
UAAAGUAUAAUAUUGAAGAUAUUAGGAAGGUAAAUUUACUUUAAAAUAU